rnacentral:rRNA from 1 species
UACGUAGGGUGCAAGCGUUGUCCGGAAUUAUUGGGCGUAAAGAGCUCGUAGGCGGCUUGUUGCGUCGGUUGUGAAAGCCCGGGGCUUAACCCCGGGUCUGCAGUCGAUACGGGCAGGCUAGAGUGUGGUAGGGGAGAUCGGAAUUCCUGGUGUAGCGGUGAAAUGCGCAGAUAUCAGGAGGAACACCGAUGGCGAAGGCAGAUCUCUGGGCCGUAACUGACGCUGAGGAGCGAAAGCAUGGGGAGCGAACAGG